CGGAGUGGGCGAGACGGUCGCCGCUCCUUCCCGCGAGGGAGGAGGGGAGGAAAGUCCGGACUCCGAAGGGCAGGAUGGUCGCUAACCGCGACCCCGGGCGACCGGGGGAAAGUGCCACAGAAAACACACCGCCCUCCAGGGCAGGCGCAGCCUCCCCGGGGAGCAAGGGUGAAAUGGCGAGGUAAGAGCUCACCGCCCCGUCAGCAAUGACGGGGGCAAGGCAAACCCCAUCCGGAGCAAGGCCAAACGAGCCCCGUUUUGGGACUGCCCGUCCCAGGGGGCGGGUCGGCCGCUCGAGCCCCGGGGCAACCCGGGGCCUAGUCAAAUGACCGUCGCCCGUUUCGGCGGGAACAGGAUCCGGCUUACGUCCCGCUCCGGCCG
rfam:Candidatus Aminicenantes bacterium RBG_13_62_12 RBG_13_scaffold_5058, whole genome shotgun sequence.